rnacentral:lncRNA from 1 species
GGGACGGACUUACCCUCCACUGUGAGAGUUACCUAAAGCUUGGCAUCUGUGAUGGUCUACAGGGCUUCUGAGGCAAUCAGGCAGCGUCAGUCUUCAGCCGCUAAGCCGAGAAGAUCUGGGAAGGAGUCAGUCAGAGAGCCUUGGGCCAGAGUUCCAGGGUCUCUGGGAGUGGCUGCCAGAUUCUGAAGGAAACAGACAGCACAACAACAACAGCCUCUCUCAGUCCUCACCCAAAUCUUUCUUCUGAAAUUGGAUGCUGAUGGCCACCAAACACGUUUUUAAAAGACCAGUGCAGUUUGAAGAACAGAGUCUUACUCCGUUGCCCAGGCUGGAGUACAAUGGUGCGAUCUUUGCUCACUGCAACAUCCACCUCAUGGGCUCAAGCGAUUCUCCUGCCUCAGCCUCCUGAGUAGCUGGGACUACAGAUGUAGGCGAAUAACAUGAACAUUGCUUCAUCUUUGUUCCACAAGUUUCUGAGACAGCACCGGAAACAUGUGGAAUUAACAACGUGGACACCUUAUGUGGCACAGCUGUUACGCUUUGAGGAAAGGCGAUUGCUGGUAAGUUCUUCAGGAAGAAACACCUUCAAAAUGGAAAACAGCUGACAUCAAUUAACUUCUGGCUUUUCUGUAAUUUUGUAUGCUGGCCUAUAAUCGUAAAGUAGCAAACAUUUUCAGGUACUGCAACACAUCACUCCGUCAAAACAUAUUACUCCACAAUGAUACAUACAAACUAUGAACGCAGUCAGAAUGAUUUUAUUGAAAUGUUUUAGUACAGUGUUAGAGGAUCUUAAAAU